rnacentral:lncRNA from 1 species
UUUGGCUCUUGAUUCUUUGGGGAAAGCAGCUGUAGAGAAAGGAGAAUGCACAACACCCUCGUCACACGCGCACUCACACGCGCACACCCUCGACCGCACGCAUUCCGGUACCGUCACCUCGGAGCCGGGAAGACUUGGGAUCCAAAUGAAGUUCUGCUGCCUACCGCCACGAGCCCUCCAGCGUCGUCCCCCACAAGCCUCCCUGCCCCCUGCUCCUGAUUCCCUUUCAGGAAUUUACAAACAUUUUCCGCAGAUCAAUAUCUGUAUUGAUUAUUCAUUGUGAGUGAGUCGUGUGUCUUUGGUGAUCCGGCUCGCAGAGGUAGCAGCCAAAGCCUGCUGCAGGGGAAAAAAAAAAAAAAAUAACAGAAGGCGAGAGGGACCCAGCUCUUGCUGGGUCUGCGGCUGUCGGCGACACAGAAAGGAAGAGGAAACGAGGAAGGCACUGGGAAAUGAAGGAGUGGACAAGGGUGGAAGAGAAAGAGGGAGCAACAGCAAGAAAAACCAAGUGAUGAUGGGCACCUGGUUCCAGGGAUCUCGGUGGCUUGGAGGAAGCCCCCAUCGUGGUCAGCUGCUCCGUGCACCGUGCAGCGGACUCCCUCGGCUCUGGGAGUGAGAAGUGACUCACAGUUUUGGUAUCUCCUACGUAAGAGCUUUGGGGGGAUUCCUUGGCUUGCUGACAAGGACAGGAAGAAAGCAGCAGCAGCGAGGUAAAACACGAUUACUUCCAACUGCCUUGUGGAGGAUAUGCAGUCGCUUGGUUCGACUGGAACAGCUUGCCGCUCUCUGAUGGCACGCGGAGGGAGAAUAAUUAAAAAGGCCAGCAUCACUUGCUAAGUGAGUAAACACAAAGCCGUUCCAAACGUGCUCUCCAGCUAAUGAGAAGCUGUAAUUUCUUAUACUUGAAGGCGAAACAAGACAGUGAUGGGGCUUAGUGGAGUGUGUGUUUGCCUGGAUAUGGAGGUGGGGGUGGUGGUGAUGGUGGUGGUGGUGGUGGUGGUGGAGGAGAUAAAUCGACUAAUUGUUGGCAAUGUUUAAAAAAGGGAUUACUGGAAAAGACAGUGAAAUGAUGACAGGAAAACAUCUUGGACCAGAGCC